rnacentral:ncRNA from 3 species
AGCGGAGGAAAAGAAACUAAC